rnacentral:lncRNA from 1 species
AUGAAUCAGUAAAAAUCUUUUCUACUGUUCAUCACCACUCUGGCCAGAGACUCUCAGAGUCAUCAUCCUAUAAGAUCACAUAGGAUGUUCUCUCCUCCUACAAGGAGUGAUCGAUUCUUAUUGGCCACUCACAACCUCCAUAUACACUUCACUAUACCCAAAAUAUCCUAUACACAUCUUAAAGUGGCAUGCUAGGGAAUAAACAAAAGUAAGGAUCCAUAUACAUAAGGUACUAUGGUAAUCUC